GGACUGUUCGGCAUCGUGCUCGGAUUGUCGGCAUGUCUGGGGCUCAAAGAUGUCCUGCGCGUCCCUUUUGUAUUCAAUCCGACUAUUGUCGUAAUCUCCUUCCUCUUCUCAGCCGCUGUAGGCGUGAUCUUCGGCUACUUCCCUGCGCUCAAGGCCGCAGGUCUCGACCCCAUCGAAGCCCUCCGCCACGAGUAAGAAAACAACGCCGGCCCCAGUUCGGAUUGUAGGCUGUCAACUCGCCUGCAUGAAGUUGGAAUCGCUAGUAAUCGCGUAUCAGCUAUGACGCGGUGAAUGUGUUCCUGAGCCUUGUACACACCGCCCGUCAAGUGAUGGGAGUUGGGAGUACCCGAAGUCGGGUUGCCAACCCUUCG
rnacentral:rRNA from 1 species